AACUCAUGCGCAAGCCGACCGUUGUUUAAAGUGCAUCUGAAAGGAUGGCUUUUCAUCGACGUAAACAAUCGGUGGAAUAAGGGGAGGGCAAGACUGGUGUCAGCCGCCGCGGUAAUACCAGCCCCCCGAGUGGUAGGGACAGUUAUUUGGCCUAAAGCGUUCGUAGCCUGCUUGGUAGGUCCUCCGUUAAUUUGACGAUCCCAUCGUCAGACUGCGGGGGAUACCGCGGGCUAGGAGGCGGGAGAGGUCGACGGUAGUUCAGAGGGUAGGGGUGGAAUCCUAUAAUCCUUGGAGGACCACCAGUGGCGAAGGCGGUCGACCAGAACGCGCUCGACGGUGAGGGACGAAAGCUGGGGGAGCAAACCGGAUUAGAUACCCGGGUAGUCCCAGCUGUAAACGAUGCGAGCUAGGUGUUGGAGCGGCUACGGCCGCUCCAGUGCCUCAGGGAAGCCAUUAAGCUCGCCGCCUGGGGAGUACGGUCGCAAGGCUGAAACUUAAAGGAAUUGGCGGGGGAGCACCACAAGGCGUGAAGGCUGCGGUUUAAUUGGAGUCAACGCCGGAAACAUUACCGGGGCCGACAGCAGAAUGAAGGUCAGAUUGAAGGUCUUACUAGACAAGCUGAGCGGAGGCGCAUGGCCGUCGCCAGUUCGUGCCGUGAGGUGUCCUGUUAAGUCAGGCAACGAUCGAGACCCUCACUGCUAGUUACCCGCGACUCCCAAAGGGUGUCGGGCACACUAGCAGAACCGCCGCCGACAAGGCGGAGGAAGGCGAGGGCAACGGCAGGUCAGCAUGCCCCUAAUGCCCCGGGCCACACGCGGCCUGCAAUGGUAGGGACAAAGGGUUUCGACCUCGAAAGAGGAAGGCAAUCUCCAAACCCUAUCGUAGUCGGGAUCGAGGGCA
rnacentral:rRNA from 1 species